UGCAGAACAGUUGUUUCGGAUCUUGGGAUUUGUCUCACAAUCGGGUUUUGACUUGUUUCGUUUUCUCUCACAGCAUAUUUAGUUCUCUUGGUUCUUUGGUUCUCACAUAGUUUUGUGACAAUUCCCCUGAUAUUGCUGUUGCUUUCGUGGUUUAUCUGGUUUAGUCAUCUUAAAAUUAAAUUCCCUGGUACUGUUUCUGUUUGUUUGGACUGCUUUGG
rnacentral:misc_RNA from 1 species